CAAAUGACUGGCCUGCCCUGGCCGUGUUUCAAAUCGAACUCCACACAUCAUGCUUUUUCAGUGGCCCCAUGCUACUCCCCAGGGCUGUGGAUUUUAGAGGUGAUGACCCCGGACUUCCCUGGGCAGGCUUGGAAGAGCUAUACCCAAGUAUGCAGUCUUCCUUGGCUUUGCCUCUCUUAGGGAGGCUCAGAGAGGUCAAGGGAGUGAUCCAAUGCCACACAGCGCUGGGGUCUGCAGUACCUGGCUCCCUGGAGGGCAUGUGCCAUGAUCCCUUCUCCCUGGGGUCUGGUGGCCCCAGCCAAGCCCUACCAGGUCUAAGAACCCAGGGGACCUUCCCAGGUGUAAGACUACUCAUGCCUCUGAGCCACCGAGAGAGGCUUUAAAAUCUCAGCUCCAAAUUAAAACCUAUGAGCUCCUCAAAACAAUGAAAAAUUUCCCUAAUAAAAGGAGAGGCACACUCA
rnacentral:lncRNA from 10 species